UAAGGAAUAUUGGACAAUGGAGGCAACUCUGAUCCAGCCAUGCCGCGUGCAGGAAGAAGGCGCUCAGCGUUGUAAACUGCUUUUGACUGGGAACAAAACCCUGGACGUGUCCGGGACUGAGGGUACCAGUAGAAUAAGCACCGGCUAACUCCGUGCCAGCAGCCGCGGUAAUACGGAGGGUGCAAGCGUUAUCCGGAAUCACUGGGUUUAAAGGGUGCGUAGGCGGUGGCGUAAGUCAGUUGUGAAAUACCCCGGCUUAACCGGUGGGAGUGCGAUUGAUACUGCGUUACUUGAAUCAGGUUGAGGUAGGCGGAAUGUGACAUGUAGCGGUGAAAUGCUUAGAUAUGUCAUAGAACACCGAUUGCGAAGGCAGCUUGCUGGACCUGUAUUGACGCUGAGGCACGAAAGCGUGGGGAGCAAACAGG
rnacentral:rRNA from 1 species